ACCCUGUGGAUUGCUUACCCAUCAGAUCUAAACAUUGGUGUGAGUGCAUAUAUAAGGAGGAAAAGUAAAACUGUAAAGGAUUUCCAUUCUUUUUAAAAAUCA
rnacentral:snoRNA from 1 species